AUUGCUUCUUGGCCUUUUGGCUAAGAUCAAGUGUAGUAUCUGUUCUUAUCAAUUUAAGAUAUACAUCAAAAUACAUUUUAUAAUCUCUACCUUUU
rnacentral:snRNA from 1 species